rnacentral:rRNA from 1 species
GACGAACGCUGGCGGCGUGCUUAACACAUGCAAGUCGAACGGAAAGGCCCUGCUUUUGUGGGGUGCUCGAGUGGCGAACGGGUGAGUAACACGUGAGUAACCUGCCCUUGACUUUGGGAUAACUUUAGGAAACUGGGGCUCAUACCGGAUAGGAGCUCCUGCUGCAUGGUGGGGGUUGGAAAGUUUCGGCGGUUGGGGAUGGACUCGCGGCUUAUCAGCUUGUUGGUGGGGUAGUGGCUUACCAAGGCUUUGACGGGUAGCCGGCCUGAGAGGGUGGACGGGCACAAGGGGACUGAGGUAGGGCCCAGAAGCGUACGGGAGGCAGGAGGGGAGAGUAUUGCACAAUGGGCGGAAGCCUGAGGCAGCGACGCCGGGUGCGGGAUGACGGCCUUCGGGUUAUAAACCGCUUUCGCCUGUAACGAAGCGUGAGUGACGGUAAUGGGUAAAGAAGCACCGGCUAACUACGUG